GACGAACGCUGGCGGCGUGCCUAAUACAUGCAAGUUGAGCGAUGAAGAUUGGUGCUUGCACCAAUUUGAAGAGCAGCGAACGGGUGAGUAACGCGUGGGGAAUCUGCCUUUGAGCGGGGGACAACAUUUGGAAACGAAUGCUAAUACCGCAUAACAACUUUAAACAUAAGUUUUAAGUUUGAAAGAUGCAAUUGCAUCACUCAAAGAUGAUCCCGCGUUGUAUUAGCUAGUUUGUGAGGUAAAGGCUCACCAAGGCGAUGAUACAUAGCCGACCUGGGAGGGUGAUCGGCCACAUUGGGACUGAGACCCGGCCCAAACUCCUACGGGAGGGAGCAGUAGGGAAUCUUCGGCAAUGGACGAAAGUCUGACCGAGCAACGCCGCGUGAGUGAAGAAGGUUUUCGGAUCGUAAAACUCUGUUGGUAGAGAAGAACGUUGGUGAGAGUGGAAAGCUCAUCAAGUGACGGUAACUACCCAGAAAGGGACGGCUAACUACGUG
rnacentral:rRNA from 1 species